AACGAACGCUGGCGGCAUGCCUAUCACAUGCAAGUCGAACGAAGGCUUCGGCCUUAGUGGCGCACGGGUGCGUAACGCGUGGGAAUCUGCCCUUAGGUUCGGAAUAACAGUUAGAAAUGGCUGCUAAUACCGGAUGAUGACGUAAGUCCAAAGAUUUAUCGCCUAGGGAUGAGCCCGCGUAGGAUUAGCUAGUUGGUGUGGUAAAGGCGCACCAAGGCGACGAUCCUUAGCUGGUCUGAGAGGAUGAUCAGCCACACUGGGACUGAGACACGGCCCAGACUCCUACGGGAGGCAGCAGUGGGGAAUAUUGGACAAUGGGCGCAAGCCUGAUCCAGCAAUGCCGCGUGAGUGAUGAAGGCCUUAGGGUUGUAAAGCUCUUUUACCCGGGAUGAUAAUGACAGUACCGGGAGAAUAAGCCCCGGCUAACUCCGUGCCAGCCGCCGCAGUAA
rnacentral:rRNA from 1 species